UUCCCUCAAGAGAAAGUCCCAACAACAACCAGCAAUUAAUGAUGCACACUUAAACGAAAAGCCAGGACCUUUGGAUAGAAAAGAAACUGACCCAAAGUCAUAAUACCCGUCAUUAAGUAAUCCCAGUUCAUAAAAUGGAAAAAAAAUGAGAAUAACAAUGCCAAACCAAACAAACUUUCUUCCCAAAGCAAAUUUCUCUCUAGUAAAUGAAAAUCAACACGCACCAAACAAAAACGAUGAAUCUGCAGCUCGAAAAGAAAACGAAGCAAAUCGCGAUGAACAUAAACAACCGCUAUUUACUCAUCUCAGGGACCGAACCGAAUCGCUACUCGUCGGGAUCGAAUAAACAAAGUAAACAACAUGAUUCAAGAAGGAAGGCUUACCGUGACAACGAGAUCGCACGUCCGAAGGGAAGGUAACGUCGUCUGCGGGAGCUUGCUCGCGUUCCACCCUUGGGGUUUCGAAAGAUGCUCAAUGGUCCAAUGGAGAAUGGUUCAGGAUUGCUUUUGCUGCUCAGAAACAAGUUGUCUUUUUGAUGCUUAUAAUCUGGAAAGGGAAUUGAACUGCUGAUGCUGCUGUGGCCGUGGCUGUGAUGUAUUCUACUGUCAAAUUGGAUACAUUGCUUCUGUGGUGUGCAUAGUGGUUUGCAUUGUCCAAUCAGGCUAUCCUUUUGGUAUGCUGCAGAAAGGAUGGAUGUUGCACCUGAGGUACACUUGUUUUAGAGCUACAAUGCCUCAAGAUUUGCAAGUUUAGGUGGCCUUGAAGCCUUUGCCUUGGUUCUGCUCAUGACCUUGCUACACUAUCAUUGCAAAGUUGGUUGGAUGUGGUUGCAGGUCUUGGCAAGAUUUUGGACCUUCACUGUGAUUGUGAGUUGGGUUUGGUGCUGCAGCAUGAUGAGCCAUGUGCAUUACUCGUUCCUGAUUGAUGUAGCAGCUUUGUUUUGCCUAUUCUGUUGUAGGUAAGUUCUCUGCAAACCUGGCUUUGAUCUAUGUUCAAUGCUAUGCCUUGCUAUGCACUAGUCCUGGCAUGUUAUACCUCAAAGUGCAGCAUUAUGUACUGCCAAGGUUUGCAACAGGUGGCCACAAUUCAACCAUGUUUUGGCUUGGUCUGUCAUGAGUCGGCAUUUUUCUACAGGAUUCAACAUGUUAGAUUCAGUUGUGCAUGGUGAUUCUGUUAAUUGUCAGCUGCAAGCAGAUUUCUUCCUGGCUUGGAUAAGUUUGGUUCUAGUCGCUACAACCUCCAUGAGCCUCUCUCAUCAUUAUGAGUUCAAAAACCAAAUGCAUGUGUAUUGGUUAAGUUGGACUUUGGUUAGGCCGUCAUGCCAACACUGAGUUGGCAACAUGUGUGUAUUUCUCUUUAUAUUUCCUGCCUAAUGAUUCUGCUCCACGUUUAUCUGCAGAUGCCCUUUCUGUAAUCUCAUUUAGGCGGUUAUCGCAUCUGCUUUUGUACAGGGCCAAUUCCUGCAUUUUGCUGCGGUACAACUCCAUCCUCUCUUUGAAUCCCAUCUCACAUUCUGCAUUUCUUCGGUCUUUUACUCUGCAGUCUCGACAUUUUGCUCACUAUUAUCUGGCAUUCCUUGUUGCUGCUGAAAACCUGGGCGUACACCCCAUGCCGCAUUUCAUUGAACACCUCGAACGCAUCAUGAUUUGCCGUAACCUUCUGGCUCCGUAGAGAAAUGGGUCUAAGAGAUCGAAGUACUUUGAGAGAAAUCAAGAGUCGUUAGUCCCGCUUGUCCCACCGUACAGUUGAAGGUGAUGACGCCUCCAUUGUAUCGUUGGAUGGAAGAAGGAGUUGGUUUUCUACCGAAAAAGAUUGAAAGGCUCCCGAAAGCAGACGUCAAGUAUCGAUUUGUGAUUGAGAUUGGAAACUCCUUGAAACCAACUUCUUAAAUUUCGCAGUUUGAAUAGUCAUUUGUUUUUUUACUUCUUGUAUGCAAUAAGUGUUUUUGAUAGUAGACAUAGAAUGUUUGCUGUUAGCUGCGAUGCCGUUUCGGCAUGUUGCAACUGGUUUUUCAAUUGCAGCUUGUUUACAUUUGUAUGCCACUUUGCUGUUACGUUUUGGUUGUUUAGCUGGCUCGUGUUUGCUACUUAUGGAGUGGCUCAAAGUUUGUCAUUGUCUAAGUCCCUGGAAAUAGAUGCCACACAUAACAUGUCCUAUUAUUAUUUGCUACUACUACCAAGCUACCAUCCCACAUCACUGUCAGAUAGCGUACAAACGUAUCCACCUCUGGCACCUAUAUUUCAAUUCACAGCUGCAUGAAUUUGCUGUCAAACCUCACACAUGAAUAUUGCCAUCUUGAUCACCAGACAUUAGUUCAG